AGAAUGGCGAUAGCUAGUGGUGAUUUUGUAUUGUGCACAUUUCCUAUGACAUGUUUUUAUGUUUACAUUUCUCCAUUUGAAGGACAGUGUCUGCUCACUUUAGUUUAUCACAAUUAUGAAUACAUUUUCCUCCCAUUGUUUUAAAAGUGCUUUAGUUUAAUGGUGCAUCAGCAUGAGGAAUAUAUUAUAGGGCUCGAGAUGUUUUAUAAGUGUGUGAUUGUGUAUAAUUGAAAGUGUUUUAAACACAUUAAGUUUUUCAUUUACAUCAUCAAGUGCUAAAUAUUACCUCCUUUUUUUUUCUUCGACACAAUUCAAGUAGGGCACAGACCAUUUUUCUUUGUUAUAUCAACUUUCAAGGGGGAAGUGUUUAUUAUAAGGUACAUGUACGUGCUGAUUAUUAUUUUUUAUCUUGAUUGUAAGGAAAAUGAAUUGGUAAUCUCUUUAAAAUCUGAGUGUUCAGAAAAUAUGAAAUUGAGACGGUUUUACAAUACUUUUCCAUAUACCUGUAAUUUAAUUUUUUUUCAAAUGUUUCAAGAAGUUACAACUUUAGUUUGAUAUUUGUGACACCCCAUCCUUUUUAAGAUAUUUCACAUAUGUAUAAUUGCAACUUUAGUUUGAUUUCUGGGACACCCCGUGCUUUUAAAGAUAUUUUUCACUUAUGUAUAAAAGGAGCAUUGCAUGAUGAUCGUGUUAAGCAUUUGACAGUGAGUUGAGUAUAGUCAGUUAAAACGUCUGUUGUUUGCAAAUGAUAGAUGUACCAGAAAUAUGUGUAUGAGCAAACAACUAUUUCAUUGUGUUGGACCUGUUUUUAAUUGAAUGAUUGCAUUAUACGGAUAUAAGGUGUUUUGCUCAUGGCUGUGUACAAGUAUUUAAUGUGUUUUGUGUUUAUAUAUUUUUUGUGUUCGCCAUCUUUUUCUUUGUGUUUACAAAAAUCACAUGGUGCCAAGUGCCAGGAUGUUUAUAGAAAUAAAUUUUUUGAAGC
rnacentral:misc_RNA from 1 species